rnacentral:rRNA from 1 species
CACGUAGUUAGCCGUGGCUUUCUGAUUAGGUACCGUCAAGACGUGCACAGUUACUUACGCAUUUGUUCUUCCCUAAUAACAGAGUUUUACGAUCCGAAGACCUUCAUCACUCACGCGGCGUUGCUCCGUCAGGCUUUCGCCCAUUGCGGAAGAUUCCCUACUGCUGCCUCCCGUAGGAGUCUGGACCGUGUCUCAGUUCCAGUGUGGCCGAUCACCCUCUCAGGUCGGCUACGUAUCGUUGCCUUGGUAAGCCAUUACCCCACCAACUAGCUAAUACGGCGCGGGUCCAUCUAUAAGUGAUAGCAAAACCAUCUUUCACUUUAGAACCAUGCGGUUCUAAAUAUUAUCCGGCAUUAGCCCCGGUUUCCCGGAGUUAUUCCAGUCUUAUAGGUAGGUUACCCACGUGUUACUCACCCGUCCGCCGCUAACGUCAAAGGAGCAAGCUCCUUAUCUGUUCGCUCGACUUGCAUGUAUUAGGCACGCCGCCAGCGUUCAUCCUGAGCCAGGAUCAAACUCU